rnacentral:rRNA from 1 species
CAGCACCUCAAGUGGUCAGGAUGAUUAUUGGGCCUAAAGCAUCCGUAGCCGGCGCUGUAAGUUUUCGGUUAAAUCUGUACGCUCAACGUACAGGCUGCCGGGAAUACUGCAGCGCUAGGGAGUGGGAGAGGUAGACGGUACUCGGUAGGAAGGGGUAAAAUCCUUUGAUCUAUUGAUGACCACCUGUGGCGAAGACGGUCUACCAGAACACGUCCGACGGUGAGGGAUGAAAGCUGGGGGAGCAAACCGGAUUAGAGACCCGAGUAGUCC